GACGAACGCUGGCGGCGUGCUUAACACAUGCAAGUCGAGCGGAGCGGCGAACGGGUGAGUAACGCGUGAGUAACUGCCCCCCUCUCUGGGAUAACAGUUGGAAACGGCUGCUAAUACCGGAUAGUGGGGGAUGACUCGCGUCCUAGCAGCUAGGUGGUGGGGUAGUGGCCUACCAAGGCGACGACGGGUAGCCGGCCUGAGAGGGCGACCGGCCACAUUGGGCUGAGAUACGGCCCGAACUCCUACGGGAGGCAGCAGUGGGGAAUAUUGCACGAUGGGGGAAACCCGGAUGCAGCAACGCCGCGUGCGAGAUGUCUGCCUUCGGGUUGUAAACCGCUUUCAGCCAUGACGCGGUAGUGGCUGAAGAAGCACCGGCUAACUACGUGCCAGCAGCCGCGGUAAUUC
rnacentral:rRNA from 1 species